UUCAUUGCGAGUAGACGUACAGCGGGUGUAGCACAGUUCUCCGACGUAUCCAUUGCCAUCUUCCUUUCGUUAAAUAAUUUACGUUGUUUUGCGUUUAAUAAGUAUAUGCUAAGUUAACUCGCUCGUCUUUUUACUUGUUCAUUUUGUCAUAUAUAAUGUUUAAGUUGAAUUGUGACGGCGUGUGUACAAUGCUUGCUGUCACCAUCGAAGAUGGCUGCAUAUUUUCAGUUUUUCAAACUUUUUAUUUUCCACAAUCUGCUGAAGAUUAAUUCCAACAUGGAUUGGCCAUUUCCCAAUAUCAGCGAGGUGACUCAAUGGCCGAACAUGCUCAUACGUCCUGAUUGACUUGUGGGACUCGUCUAGAACAUGGACGAAAUGUAGAGGAAUCAGGCUUGACCAAGUUCACACCUCCAGAAUGACCAGUGUGACUCUGGUAGAACUUGGACAAAAUUUUAAUGUCAGAAAAAUCCUGCGACUGGACCAGCUCAUCAAAGUGUGUCUGUGUCAUCUAUUGUUCAUUUUUUAAAAAACAUUGAGUUCAAGCAUGUAUUUUAAAAGUGUCUUAAAUAUGACUGCCAUUGACAGCAAUUGUGGAUUCCUUUUGUGAUAGUGUUUGUUUUCUGUACAUGAAUUGUGUGAAGCUGUGUAUAAUUAAUAAAAACAAACCCACAAUGUUUUUUCCUGUUUUAAUUUUAGUUAAAACUCAGAACUAGAAACGUGGAAAUAGAUCCAAAGUAUGCAAGUGAACAUUGGUUACAUUUUGAAUUAUUACAUCAUGUUGUGGUUCUGGGUUAGCGGGGGACCCAAGAGCAGAGAUGACAGGCAAAACUGGCAGUGACAACACUUUAUUGACAGGGUUGGCAGAAGGUGUUGAAAUAGUCAGGUGAGUCUUUGCGAUUGAUGAGCAGAUGGGCAAGCAGGUGUUCAGGCAGGCAAGUAUCGCAGGAUCUAGGGAAUAAAAGAAGAAUUAGCUAAAUGGUAUUUU